GAUGAACGCUGGCGGCGUGCCUAAUACAUGCAAGUCGAGCGAACAGACGAGGAGCUUGCUCCUCUGACGUUAGCGGCGGACGGGUGAGUAACACGUGGAUAACCUACCUAUAAGACUGGGAUAACUUCGGGAAACCGGAGCUAAUACCGGAUAAUAUAUUGAACCGCAUGGUUCAAUAGUGAAAGACGGUUUUGCUGUCACUUAUAGAUGGAUCCGCGCCGCAUUAGCUAGUUGGUAAGGUAACGGCUUACCAAGGCAACGAUGCGUAGCCGACGGGAGAGGGGGAUUGGCCACACUGGAACUGAGACACGGUCCAGACUCCUACGGGAGGCAGCAGUAGGGAAUCUUCCGCAAUGGGCGAGAGCCUGACGGAGCAACGCCGCGUGAGUGAUGAAGGUCUUCGGAUCGUAAAACUCUGUUAUUAGGGAAGAACAAAUGUGUAAGUAACUAUGCACGUCUUGACGGUACCUAAUCAGAAAGCCACGGCUAACUACGUG
rnacentral:rRNA from 1 species